rnacentral:SRP_RNA from 15 species
CUCGUGGUCUGCAAGGAUUUCGCAGUGCAAGUUGUGAUGACCUGUCAGAUAAUCAUCUGGGCAAAUGCUCAGGCUGGCAACGGAGCAGGCAAAUCCAGACGCCACUUGCAGUGAUGAGAUCCCGAGU